rnacentral:rRNA from 1 species
UGGGGAAUAUUGGACAAUGGGCGAAAGCCUGAUCCAGCCAUGCCGCGUGUGUGAAGAAGGUCUUCGGAUUGUAAAGCACUUUAAGUUGGGAGGAAUGGCAGUAAGCGAAUACCUUGCUGUUUUGACGUUACCGACAGAAUAAGCACCGGCUAACUCUGUGCCAGCAGCCGCGGUAAUACAGAGGGUGCAAGCGUUAAUCGGAAUUACUGGGCGUAAAGCGCGCGUAGGUGGUUCGUUAAGUUGAAUGUGAAAGCCCCGGGCUCAACCUGGGAACUGCAUCCAAAACUGGCGAGCUAGAGUAGGGCAGAGGGUGGUGGAAUUUCCUGUGUAGCGGUGAAAUGCGUAGAUAUAGGAAGGAACACCAGUGGCGAAGGCGACCACCUGGGCUCAUACUGACACUGAGGUGCGAAAGCGUGGGGAGCAAACAGG